rnacentral:rRNA from 1 species
CGCCCGCCGCGAACUUAGAAGGGCUUCUUUGGGGUAGACGCUCGGCGUCUUUAAAUGUCGUCGCACGUCUCGUUGGAAACCUUUCCUUUCUAGUACGUCGACCGCGUCGUUCGGAACGAAAGGAGUUUUUCCGAGACUGCCACCCGGCCCCGUUUUUUUUUUCAUCGUCAACGGGUUGCGCGACUGUACCGUAUGGAGAAGGGAAAAAACGAGAAACAACUUUUAACGGUGGAUCUCUUGGCUCGUGCAUCGAUGAAGAACGCAGCCAGCUGCGAUAAGUAGUGUGAAUUGCAGAAUUCAGUGAAUCAUCGAAUCUUUGAACGCAAAUGGCGCUCUCGGGUUCUCCCGGGAGCACGUCCGUCUGAGUGUCGGCAUACAUAUAAUAACGCGCGAGAAGACCCCGCGGCGUUGAGCGUCGCGGCGUGCAGGCCGCGUCCCUCGAAAUGCAGGAGAACCGCCGCCUAGCGAGAUCCUCGGAGGCCUAAAACGAAACGGUUCCCCGCGAUCCGCAGCAGCCGGUUCGGUUCGACAAAAAAGUGACACCAUAUCGCAUCUCGACCUCA